GCCCCUGUGGCCUAAUGGAUAAGGCAUCGGCCUCCUAAGCCGGGGAUUGUGGGUUCGAGUCCCACCAGGGUAAUCA
rnacentral:tRNA from 1 species